rnacentral:tRNA from 1 species
GUCCCCAUCGUCUAGAGGCCUAGGACAUCGCCCUUUCACGGCGGUAACGGGGGUUCGAAUCCCCCUGGGGAC